rnacentral:misc_RNA from 1 species
GUGUCCAAGAGUAAUGGCUGCUGCUCAAACUUUGUUCGAUAUUGCAACUUCUGCUGCAUUGAGGCAAAACAUAGAUGGGAUAGUAAGGUGGCCAAAAAAGCCUUCACAAAAAUCCAUGAAAGCUCGCAAGUUGAAAUCAGAGGAAACUGAAGAAUUAUAUACCACGCCUACUGCAUAUGGAUUAUGGUCCAAUAAUUCGUUCAAGAACGAGGGCCACCAAAUGCAUCCCUCGAAGAAGCCAAAGCUAGGAACAACAGAGAGCAGAAGAGACAUUGCUCAGACAAAUUGUAGAAGAGGACCAUUGAAUUGGGCUACACCCAGAUCAAGUAGAUCUUCACCCAGUAAAUUCAUUAAAGAUUCGGUUUCGGAUGCUAAACAUUCAACCGCAGGUGCCAUAAAACAAUCGUCUAUGAUGCCUCCUCCAGCAACCCUUUUGUGCAAGGCUGGCGAGGGUCAACAAAAGACACGAAAGUUAAUGCUCAUGGAUUGGAAAAGAGGAGGAG